GAAAUGCGAUAGCUAGUGUGAAUUGCAGAAUUACGCGAAUCAUCGAAUUCUUGAACGCAUCCGGCGCCUGGAGGCUAUCCUCCAGGCACGCCUGUUUGAGUGUCGAUUCAUUCACUAUCCUAAUAAAGAAAAUAUUUAUUUAUAUUUUUUUUAAAAGGGAAAUGAAAGUCUAAUGAUUUAUUAUUAGUCUUUUGAAAUGUAUCGGCCAGCAUUCAUUUUGCAAGGCAGGUUAACAUUACAGGUUCGGUGUCACUUGUGACUCAUCCCUGAAAUGUCCUACUUUUUGUAAUUUGUAUAUUUUUAAUGCUCGGUUCAAAGGGAAAAAAUUAAAAUCUUAUGUUGUUUCUACAACGUAACAUUCAAAACAACCUUCGACCUCAAAUCAGGUGAGAUUACCCGC
rnacentral:misc_RNA from 1 species